CCUACGGGAGGCAGCAGUGAGGAAUAUUGGGCAAUGGAGGCAACUCUGACCCAGCCAUGCCGCGUGCAGGAAGACGGUCCUAUGGAUUGUAAACUGCUUUUAUACGGGAAGAAACACCCCCUCGUGAGGGGACUUGACGGUACCGUAAGAAUAAGGAUCGGCUAACUCCGUGCCAGCAGCCGCGGUAAU
rnacentral:rRNA from 1 species